CAGUUUUUGCCUCAGCCUACAUAGGGGAAAGGGCCACAGACACCAGAACUGCCAGCCCUGAGGCAUUUCAAGCAAAAUCAGGAGCUCCAGCCGGAAGAGAGGCCUCCAGUGUUAGUGAGGGAUCCAGACUCUAAAGAAAUCCAGGGUCCUUUCCCACUUUUGACUUGGGGAUGGGGAUAUGCCUGCGUAUCCACACCCUCAGGAGUCAAGUGGGUCCCCAGGAGGCAUGUUAAACCAUACACACCAGGACAGCUGAUAUUGUUUAAAGAAUGAAGAUGUUGUUAAGUUACCUGCAUCACCAGAUUACUAAGGAAAAACCCAAACAACCCCAGAACACAAACCUCAAAUUACAGACUUAUAGAAAAAUAGAAGAUUUUUCCUGAACUCUUUACUCAGUUUGGACUGGCGAGGCCGCAUCUUGAAUGAUUGGUUUUCACAAUGAAAAAGACAUUGAGGUGCUGAAGCUGAUUCAAAGAAGAACAACGAAACUGGUGAAAUGUCUGGAGCACAGGUCUUAUGAGGAGCAGCUAAAGCAGCUGUGGUUAUUUAGCCUGGAGAAAAGGAGGCUCAGGGAUCUUAUGACUCUCUUCAACAAUCUUUCUUCAAUUAAUUAAAA